AUUCCCUGUCUAUAGUCGCAUUUUUUUCUAUCAAUCGAUGCUUAAAAUUAUUUGAACGUUGGAAAAUAAUGCAGUUUUAAUUUCAUUUGCAUCAAAUUUAAUAGAUUAAUUAGGAGAGAAUAGAUCUCUUUAAAAUUGAGUCUUCCUCUCCAACUCCAAGUUUUAACUGAGGUGUUACCAGCUUGAGAAGUGAGACAUUUUAGAUGCUUCACUACCUGACAUUUCUAUAUCAAUCCAAAUUCUUAUACUUGUUUAUCAUUUCUGUGGACUUCAUUCUUCAACACUGCUGCAUGUUUCAUAAGCAAGGACCAAAGAGACUUUGACUACAGGUGGUGAACAAGUGUACAAGAGGAUCAUAGAUACCUUCUGCAGUGGUUCCUUCCACAGCAUCGCCCAAUUGCUGUCAUUAUUUCUCC